AUUGAACGCUGGCGGCAUGCCUUACACAUGCAGGUCGAACGGCAGCACGGGAGCAAUCCUGGUGGCGAGUGGCGAACGGGUGAGUAAUGUAUCGGAACGUGCCCAGUCGUGGGGGAUAACGCAGCGAAAGCUGUGCUAAUACCGCAUACGAUCUAUGGAUGAAAGCGGGGGAUCGCAAGACCUCGCGCGAUUGGAGCGGCCGAUAUCAGAUUAGGUAGUUGGUGGGGUAAAGGCCCACCAAGCCGACGAUCUGUAGCUGGUCUGAGAGGACGACCAGCCACACUGGAACUGAGACACGGUCCAGACUCCUACGGGAGGCAGCAGUGGGGAAUUUUGGACAAUGGGCGCAAGCCUGAUCCAGCAAUGCCGCGUGCAGGAUGAAGGCCUUCGGGUUGUAAACUGCUUUUGUACGGAACGAAACGGCUCUCUCUAAUACAGGGGGCUAAUGACGGUACCGUAAGAAUAAGCACCGGCUAACUACGUGCCAGCCGCCGCGGUAA
rnacentral:rRNA from 1 species